rnacentral:rRNA from 1 species
AUACGUAGGGGGCGAGCGUUGUCCGGAGUGAUUGGGCGUAAAGGGCGCGUAGGCGGCCUGUUAAGUCUGGAGUGAAAGUCCUGUUUUCAAGAUGGGAAUUGCUUUGGAUACUGAUGGGCUUGAGUGCAGGAGAGGUUAUCGGAAUUCCCGGUGUAGCGGUGAAAUGCGUAGAGAUUGGGAGGAACACCAGUGGCGAAGGCGACUUACUGGACUGUAACUGACGCUGAGGCGCGAAAGUGUGGGGAGCAAACAGGAUUAGAUACCCUGGUAGUCCACACUGUAAACGAUGAAUGCUAGGUGUAGGGGGUAUCGACCCCUUCUGUGCCGCAGUCAACACAAUAAGCAUUCCGCCUGGGGAGUACGGCCGCAAGGUUGAAACUCAAAUGAAUUGACGGGG